rnacentral:rRNA from 1 species
UUCGGGUUGUAACCUCUUUCAGCAGGGAAGAAGCGAAAGUGACGGUACCUGCAGAAGAAGCGCCGGCUAACUACGUGCCAGCAGCCGCGGUAAUACGUAGGGCGCAAGCGUUGUCCGGAAUUAUUGGGCGUAAAGAGCUCGUAGGCGGCUUGUCACGUCGGAUGUGAAAGCCCGGGGCUUAACCCCGGGUCUGCAUUCGAUACGGGCUAGCUAGAGUGUGGUAGGGGAGAUCGGAAUUCCUGGUGUAGCGGUGAAAUGCGCAGAUAUCAGGAGGAACACCGGUGGCGAAGGCGGAUCUCUGGGCCAUUACUGACGCUGAGGAGCGAAAGCGUGGGGAGCGAACAGGAUUAGAUACCCUGGUAGUCCAAGGGCGAAU